rnacentral:lncRNA from 1 species
UGUCACGUGCUGUCCAGGGCGGGUCGCAGAGCCAGUUUUUCUGCUCCCAGAGUGGGACUUGGGGAGGAGACCGCAAUGCUCAAAUAGCCACCGUGCUGCCCACUGCCAGCCAGGUGCUGAGGAGCCCACUCGCCUUUCCUGCUCCAGGUGUGACCACCUUGUGCUCCAGAGCCCUUUGGUUGUGGUGAAAUGUCGACGAUCCUGAAAUGGUUUGGACGGGAAGAUAAGGAGAGAGAGGAGAAGGAAGAGGAGAAGAAGCAGGAGGCAGAGGAGGAAAAGGACGAGGGAGUUGGGGACGGUGACAACAGGAGCAGCAGCAGCACAGAGGAGCACCCAGCCCUCCUCUCACAUGGUGCUGCUUUCCUUCUUAUUCCAGCCCCAGGACCAGGGCCGUGCUGAGGAUGUUGAGAAGGAAGCCCAGGAGUAGACUUGCUGGGCACGCCGAGGAGGUGGGGAUGCUGGAAGGGGCUGGCCACUGGUAGCCAAAUAAAAGCAUUUGGACCCCA